rnacentral:lncRNA from 1 species
UUUAUGAAUAUCUUAGAUAUAAGGUAAGAUAUCCAUUAAAAAUUAUUGCAAGUAGGAACAUAUUUAAUUUGAAGAAUUGGUAGUUAUAGAUCAAGUUCAUGUUAAAUUUUGAAUAUCCCGAUUUUCAGGGAUUAAGGGCCUUUGGACAUGUUGGAACCAACAGCUGAUAGUGGAAUUUUUGUCAUACCUGUUCUGAUUUUUUUAUUUACAAAUGUACAUUAGAAUAAAAAAAGUGCAUCAAUACCGUUAAUUUAAGUAAACACAUAUCAUAAAGAAGAUUUUUAUAAAUUUUUUUGUGCAACACUUAUGUACUUAAAAUUUAAAUACAUCAAAUUAAGCUGGAUUUUUUGUUGUUGGAAAGUAACAUGGUAUUAAGGAAAAUAUAAGUGAAGUUUCAGUUUUAUACAUGUUGCAAAUGUGAUAAAAUUAACUUCCGUCAGAAAGCGUGUUAAGACAAAUAAUCCAUGGAUAUUUACUGAAGAGAAUAUAUAAAAUUGGAAAAAAUGAAUUCAAUAAAUACUAUAAUUGAUAAUUACAUUUUUUAAAUGUAUAGAAGACUUGAAGUAGAAAUUUAAAAAAGAAAUGGCAUUUAUAACAAUUCCUACUUCCAAUUUGAGCUAGCAAGCUUUUUGUGAGACAACUAGUAAGGUAUAAAAUUGUUGAAUCAAUACAAUACAAUAAUAAUUUAUUAACGUCUCGCAUCAAUAAUACAGUAUACACAUUUAAAUAUUACAUAUAAAAGAACCUUUAAAACUUAAAUGCCAUCUAAAGAAUCUGAGAGACGGAUUAAAAGGAACUAGUAUUUACAAUUUUCAAAAGCUUUAUAAAACAAAUGUAAAUCAUAAAACUAUAACAUCAAUUAUCGUAAAAAAAGUCUCUACGUUGAAUAAGCUUGCGGCUUUACAUUUUGUAUCACAUUAUAUUAUCACUCGUAAAAUAAUGAAUUUCAAUGAAUUUAGACUAAAAUUUUCGUUUUCAAAGUUUAAAAUCUUAUACAGUUCGUCUCUAAGAUCAUCGUACAACAGACAUUCAGUCAAUACAGACUCCCCUGUUUCAAUGUGAUCGUCACAAACAAAACAAGUUCUUUGAUCUAUUGGAAGAUUCUCGUAACGUCCUGUCUCCACACUUAUUGGGGCAACACCACAGCAAAACUGAGAGUAAGCUCUUCCGUGUGAUGGUAUAAUAAGUUUAUCUAAGUAAAGUUCUGUAUAUACAUCCUGUUUAAAUGUUCUAUAUGUACGUAAUUUGUUACCUCCUGGUCCAUUUGAUAUUAUAUAAAAUCCAUAAAUGAAACUAAUUAAUGCUUGUGGUUUUCAUUUCAGUUGAUUACAAUGGCAGUUGUAAUGAGUCAGUGUGGAGCUGUGGCCAUGCUGUACAAGUUAUUCCUGUCUAGAAGCCUGUAUUGGGAAAUAUCUGCUUUAUCAAGUUCUCUCCCCUUACAUGUCAGAAUGGAUAAAACAUUAGGAUACAAAUUAUACUCAUGACAGAACAACAUGGAUAAUUAACUUUGUCCAAAACUGUGUUCAGAAGAUGUGAAGGGACCAAUAUGGUCAUUAUAUAUGAAAAUAUUACUUUGUUUAACUGAUCUUCAGUGGCAUUGAAAGUUCAGAAUGUCCCAGCAGAAAGUAUGUAGGACACAUCCAAGAUAUAUCAUCAGCACAGAGGGUCAUACCAAAGGAUUUGAUUCUGUCUGGAAAUGGACAGUAUUGACACUUUAGGCUUUAUUUAAACAUGUUAAAUGGGUAUUUUUAUAAUUUCUUUCCAUCCACACAUAUUCUGGAAGAAAAACAUAUGAAAUUGUUUUUUACAUAUUCAUCAUAUUUUAUAUAAAUGUAGAUUUUCUAAAAAAUGGGAAUGAUGAAAUAGAGUUUCAAAUGGCCCAAAUGUCUGUGUGAGCAAUUGCUAUUGUUUGGUUUCUGUUGUCGUCCUCUGUCAUUCAUGAAACUUACAAAAAUCUUCUGUUCUGAAACUAAUGGGCCAAUUAGGGUAUCUAGUGUAAAAACAUGUGUCUGGUAAUUCUGCUUGCAACCAACGUGGCCACCAAAACCAAAAACUGCCGGACUUCUCCUUUUAUAUAUAUCAAUAGCAAAAAUGAUCAGCAAGACAAGAUCUACUUGCCUGCAUGGGAACUUGACCGCGGCUUCCCACCACGCUUUUCUCCAGCAUGGGGAAAUUUCAACCAAUAACUUGAUCUCUCUGCCCCGUACCUCAAGAAACCCACAAUAGCCCGCAUGGGAACUAGUCUGUGGCUUCCCACUUCAUGUGGAAAACAGCAGAAAUCCUCAGUCUCCUUAUAGUAGGCAUUGCCCUUAAAAAUUUUGAUUGACAUUUUAGAUUUGUGGUUAAAACUAUGUUACAGAAAAAGUGUAAACAACAAAAAUGAUCAGCCAAAAAUACUUUUAUUCGUGCAUUAUAUUCUGGAAUAACAUUGUAGAGUGCAUGGCCAUUGUUAAAGAUGCAUAUAGGUGAUUGACACAAGCUCUUAGAUACUCUAUUUUUGUAUGGGAUUCUUUUUAUUAUUGUUUUGUGUUGGUUUAUUUUGGGGAGGGAUGUAUUUGAUUAAGUUAUGUUAAACAUUAGUAUACUCCAAUUUAAUGUUAUAUUUACUGUGGCAAUUGUGUGAACUGAGCAGAUUAUUUUAAGUGAGAAUGUUACAUAUCAUAUACAAAUUUGCUCAUUAAAUGGUUAUGUAUUCAAUGUAUGAAUGAUUUAUGAAACAUUUAUGAAGGGUAAGUUGUCUUUAAAUUGUUGUGAUUGAUAAUACAAACUUUUGUAGCUAUGUAAUCUCCCACUAGGUGCACAUUACCUUUAUCAGUAGCAGUUAUACUAGUCCUAAGCUAGUGAAAGGUAGAACUGAAUAAAUGUGCUACAUUCAUAAGACAAAAGUAAUUUAUUUAUUCCCUCCAUAUAUACUACAUUGCAUUUUUUUUCCUUCCUCUAAAUUCAAAGUUCUUGUACUUCAUCCAACCAAUUUGUGAUUGAAUUUCUUAUAUUGAGCAUGGAAUUUGCCUAUAUAUCUGCAUAUAUAUGAUAAAGAAGAUAAAAACGGGUGUAAUUUUGGAGAAAAAUGGUAGAAUAUCUCUUUUUGUUUCAUUACAAAUUAAAUGUGAAGGUAUAGCUUUUUAUUUUCUUAUGCUUAUUUGAACACAAAUUAUAAUUUUAUCAAUUUCAAUUUUUGUUAAAACUAGAUACAGAUCUUGAUUACCUAUAAAUGCAAGAUUCAUUUGUGAUGGCAAAUUAUGAAUAGCAAUAAAGUGUCUUUGAACCAGUCAUAGAAUGAAAAAUUAAAACAUUUUGUAAAAAUUUCUUGUCCAUAGACUGGUCUGACAAAUUGUAUUGGCUGUAGCUACUGUAAAACAUUUAAGCAGAACUUGUAUGAGUACCACAUUACUUAUGGUUUUUAUGCCCCACCUACGAUAGUAGAGGGGCAUUAUGUUUUCUGGUCUGUGCUCCGUUCGUCCGUCUGUGCC